rnacentral:rRNA from 1 species
AGGAUGAACGCUAGCUACAGGCUUAACACAUGCAAGUCGAGGGGCAUCAGGAAGAAAGCUUGCUUUCUUUGCUGGCGACCGGCGCACGGGUGAGUAACACGUAUCCAACCUGCCCUUUACUCGGGGAUAGCCUUUCGAAAGAAAGAUUAAUACCCGAUAGCAUAAUGAUUCCGCAUGGUUUCAUUAUUAAAGGAUUCCGGUAAAGGAUGGGGAUGCGUUCCAUUAGGUUGUUGGUGAGGUAACGGCCCACCAAGCCUUCGAUGGAUAGGGGUUCUGAGAGGAAGGUCCCCCACAUUGGAACUGAGACACGGUCCAAACUCCUACGGGAGGCAGCAGUGAGGAAUAUUGGUCAAUGGGCGCUAGCCUGAACCAGCCAAGUAGCGUGAAGGAUGAAGGCUCUAUGGGUCGUAAACUUCUUUUAUAUAAGAAUAAAGUGCAGUAUGUAUACUGUUUUGUAUGUAUUAUAUGAAUAAGGAUCGGCUAACUCCGUGCCAGCAGCCGCGGUAAUACGGAGGAUCCGAGCGUUAUCCGGAUUUAUUGGGUUUAAAGGGAGCGUAAGUGGACUGGUAAGUCAUUUGCGAAAGUUUGCGGCUCAACCGUAAAAUGGCAGUUGAUACUGUCAGUCUUGAGUACAGUAGAGGUGGGCGGAAUUUCGUGGUGUAGCGGUGAAAUGCUUAGAUAUCACGAAGAACUCCGAUUGCGAAGGCAGCUCACUGGACUGCAACUGACACUGAUGCUCGAAAGUGUGGGUAUCAAACAGGAUUAGAUACCCUGGUAGUCCACACAGUAAACGAUGAAUACUCGCUGUUUGCGAUAUACAGUAAGCGGCCAAGCGAAAGCAUUAAGUAUUCCACCUGGGGAGUACGCCGGCAACGGUGAAACUCAAAGGAAUUGACGGGGGCCCGCACAAGCGGAGGAACAUGUGGUUUAAUUCGAUGAUACGCGAGGAACCUUACCCGGGCUUAAAUUGCAGUGGAAUGAUGUGGAAACAUGUCAGUGAGCAAUCACCGCUGUGAAGGUGCUGCAUGGUUGUCGUCAGCUCGUGCCGUGAGGUGUCGGCUUAAGUGCCAUAACGAGCGCAACCCUUAUCUUUAGUUACUAACAGGUCAUGCUGAGGACUCUAGAGAGACUGCCGUCGUAAGAUGUGAGGAAGGUGGGGAUGACGUCAAAUCAGCACGGCCCUUACGUCCGGGGCUACACACGUGUUACAAUGGGGGGUACAGAAGGCAGCUAGCGGGUGACCGUAUGCUAAUCCCAAAAUCCUCUCUCAGUUCGGAUCGAAGUCUGCAACCCGACUUCGUGAAGCUGGAUUCGCUAGUAAUCGCGCAUCAGCCACGGCGCGGUGAAUACGUUCCCGGGCCUUGUACACACCGCCCGUCAAGCCAUGGGAGCCGGGGGUACCUGAAGUACGUAACCGCAAGGAUCGUCCUAGGGUAAAACUGGUGACUGGGGC